rnacentral:rRNA from 1 species
UACGGAGGGUGCAAGCGUUAUCCGGAAUUACUGGGUUUAAAGGGUGCGUAGGCGGCGCAGUAAGUCAGGAGUGAAAGUUUGCGGCUCAACCGUAAAAUUGCUUUUGAUACUGCUGUGCUAGAAUUAGGAUGAGGUCAGCGGAAUGUGGCAUGUAGCGGUGAAAUGCAUAGAUAUGACAUAGAACACCAAUUGCGAAGGCAGCUGGCUAGACCUAUAUUGACGCUGAGGCACGAAAGCGUGGGGAGCGAACAGG